rnacentral:rRNA from 1 species
UAAGGAAUAUUGGUCAAUGGACGCAAGUCUGAACCAGCCAUGCCGCGUGCAGGAAGACGGCCCUAUGGGUUGUAAACUGCUUUUAUACGGGAAUAAACCUCGAUACGUGUAUCGAGUUGAAUGUACUGUAAGAAUAAGGAUCGGCUAACUCCGUGCCAGCAGCCGCGGUAAUACGGAGGAUCCAAGCGUUAUCCGGAUUUAUUGGGUUUAAAGGGUGCGUAGGUGGCUUUUUAAGUCAGGGGUGAAAGACGGCAGCUUAACUGUCGCAGUGCCUUUGAUACUGAAGAGCUUGAAUCCACUAGAGGUAGGCGGAAUGUGACAAGUAGCGGUGAAAUGCAUAGAUAUGUCACAGAACACCAAUUGCGAAGGCAGCUUACUAUGGUGGUAUUGACACUGAGGCACGAAAGCGUGGGGAUCAAACAGGAUUAGAUACCCGGGUAGUCC